rnacentral:rRNA from 1 species
CCUACGGGUGGCAGCAGUGAGGAAUAUUGGUCAAUGGACGAGAGUCUGAACCAGCCAAGUAGCGUGAAGGAUGACUGCCCUAUGGGUUGUAAACUUCUUUUAUAUGGGAAUAAAAUGUUCCACGUGUGGGAUUUUGUAUGUACCAUAUGAAUAAGGAUCGGCUAACUCCGUGCCAGCAGCCGCGGUAAUACGGAGGAUCCGAGCGUUAUCCGGAUUGAUUGGGUGUAAAGGGAGCGUAGGUGGAUUGUUAAGUCGGUUGUGAAAGUGUGCGGCCCAACCGGAAGAGUGCCGUUGAAACUGGCAGUCGUGAGUGCAGUAGAGGUGGGCGGAAUGCGUGGUGUAGCGGGGAGAUGCUUAGAU